UAUGAACGCUGGCGGCGUGCCUAAUACAUGCAAGUCGAGCGAACAGAUGAGGAGCUUGCUCCUCUGACGUUAGCGGCGGACGGGUGAGUAACACGUGGAUAACCUACCUAUAAGACUGGGAUAACUUCGGGAAACCGGAGCUAAUACCGGAUAAUAUAUUGAACCGCAUGGUUCAAUAGUGAAAGACGGUUUUGCUGUCACUUAUAGAUGGAUCCGCGCCGCAUUAGCUAGUUGGUAAGGUAACGGCUUACCAAGGCAACGAUGCGUAGCCGACCUGAGAGGGUGAUCGGCCACACUGGAGCUGAGACACGGUCCAGACUCCUACGGGAGGCAGCAGUAGGGAAUCUUCCGCAAUGGGCGAAAGCCUGACGUAGCAACGCCGCGUGAGUGAUGAAGGUCUUCGGAUCGUAAAACUCUGUUAUUGGGGAAGAACAAAUGUGUAAGUAACUAUGCACGUCUUGACGGUACCUAAUCAGAAAGCCACGGCUAACUACGUG
rnacentral:rRNA from 1 species